rnacentral:rRNA from 6 species
UUAAAUUGAAGAGUUUGAUCAUGGCUCAGAUUGAACGCUGGCGGCAGGCCUAACACAUGCAAGUCGAACGGUAACAGGAAGAAGCUUGCUUCUUUGCUGACGAGUGGCGGACGGGUGAGUAAUGUCUGGGAAACUGCCUGAUGGAGGGGGAUAACUACUGGAAACGGUAGCUAAUACCGCAUAACGUCGCAAGACCAAAGAGGGGGACCUUCGGGCCUCUUGCCAUCGGAUGUGCCCAGAUGGGAUUAGCUUGUUGGUGGGGUAACGGCUCACCAAGGCGACGAUCCCUAGCUGGUCUGAGAGGAUGACCAGCCACACUGGAACUGAGACACGGUCCAGACUCCUACGGGAGGCAGCAGUGGGGAAUAUUGCACAAUGGGCGCAAGCCUGAUGCAGCCAUGCCGCGUGUAUGAAGAAGGCCUUCGGGUUGUAAAGUACUUUCAGCGGGGAGGAAGGGAGUAAAGUUAAUACCUUUGCUCAUUGACGUUACCCGCAGAAGAAGCACCGGCUAACUCCGUGCCAGCAGCCGCGGUAAUACGGAGGGUGCAAGCGUUAAUCGGAAUUACUGGGCGUAAAGCGCACGCAGGCGGUUUGUUAAGUCAGAUGUGAAAUCCCCGGGCUCAACCUGGGAACUGCAUCUGAUACUGGCAAGCUUGAGUCUCGUAGAGGGGGGUAGAAUUCCAGGUGUAGCGGUGAAAUGCGUAGAGAUCUGGAGGAAUACCGGUGGCGAAGGCGGCCCCCUGGACGAAGACUGACGCUCAGGUGCGAAAGCGUGGGGAGCAAACAGGAUUAGAUACCCUGGUAGUCCACGCCGUAAACGAUGUCGACUUGGAGGUUGUGCCCUUGAGGCGUGGCUUCCGGAGCUAACGCGUUAAGUCGACCGCCUGGGGAGUACGGCCGCAAGGUUAAAACUCAAAUGAAUUGACGGGGGCCCGCACAAGCGGUGGAGCAUGUGGUUUAAUUCGAUGCAACGCGAAGAACCUUACCUGGUCUUGACAUCCACAGAACUUUCCAGAGAUGGAUUGGUGCCUUCGGGAACUGUGAGACAGGUGCUGCAUGGCUGUCGUCAGCUCGUGUUGUGAAAUGUUGGGUUAAGUCCCGCAACGAGCGCAACCCUUAUCCUUUGUUGCCAGCGGUCCGGCCGGGAACUCAAAGGAGACUGCCAGUGAUAAACUGGAGGAAGGUGGGGAUGACGUCAAGUCAUCAUGGCCCUUACGACCAGGGCUACACACGUGCUACAAUGGCGCAUACAAAGAGAAGCGACCUCGCGAGAGCAAGCGGACCUCAUAAAGUGCGUCGUAGUCCGGAUUGGAGUCUGCAACUCGACUCCAUGAAGUCGGAAUCGCUAGUAAUCGUGGAUCAGAAUGCCACGGUGAAUACGUUCCCGGGCCUUGUACACACCGCCCGUCACACCAUGGGAGUGGGUUGCAAAAGAAGUAGGUAGCUUAACCUUCGGGAGGGCGCUUACCACUUUGUGAUUCAUGACUGGGGUGAAGUCGUAACAAGGUAACCGUAGGGGAACCUGCGGUUGGAUCACCUCCUUACCUUAAAGAAGC